UACGGAGGGAGCUAGCGUUGUUCGGAAUUACUGGGCGUAAAGCGUGCGCAGGCGGUUUUGUAAGUCUGUCGUGAAAGCCCCGGGCUCAACCUGGGAAUUGCGAUGGAGACUGCAAGGCUUGAAUCUGGCAGAGGGGGGUAGAAUUCCACGUGUAGCAGUGAAAUGCGUAGAGAUGUGGAGGAACACCGAUGGCGAAGGCAGCCCCCUGGGUCAAGAUUGACGCUCGAUGCACGAAAGCGUGGGGAGCAAACAGG
rnacentral:rRNA from 1 species